rnacentral:rRNA from 1 species
GACAGAGGGGGCAAGCGUUGCUCGGAAUUACUGGGCGUAAAGGGCGCGUAGGCGGGAUGGCAAGUCGGUCGUGAAAUCCCUCGGCUCAACCGAGGAACGUCGAUCGAUACUGCUGUUCUUGAGGAUUGCAGAGGAGACUGGAAUUCCCGGUGUAGCGGUGAAAUUCGUAGAUAUUGGGAAGAACACCGAUGGCGAAGGCAGCCAUCUGGACCGACACUGACGCUGAGGCGCGAAAGCGUGGGGAGCAAACAGG